GUUGCCUAUUUUGCUGCAUGUUUAAGAUGUCUAUAGAGAGACGUGAAGUUUUCCUGAUGCUCCCAAGGCUUGAUACUUAAGACUUAGGUUCACAGAAAUAUCUGAGUCUUACCUCAAAUGAAGUACCUGAUGCUUGAGAUCCCAAGAAAGCAAUUCACACAAGGGAAACCAGCCCCAUGGACUGCCAGG